rnacentral:rRNA from 1 species
UACGUAGGGGGCAAGCGUUGUCCGGAUUUAUUGGGCGUAAAGAGCGUGUAGGCGGCCUGGAAGGUCAGCUGUGAAAACUCGAGGCUCAACCUCGAGACGUCGGUUGAAACCGUAAGGCUAGAGUCCGGAAGAGGAGAGUGGAAUUCCCGGUGUAGCGGUGAAAUGCGCAGAUAUCGGGAAGAACACCCGUGGCGAAGGCGGCUCUCUGGGACGGUACUGACGCUGAGACGCGAAAGCGUGGGGAGCGAACAGG